GUAGGGAAUCUUGCGCAAUGGGGGAAACCCUGACGCAGCGACGCCGCGUGCGGGAUGAAGGCCUUCGGGUCGUAAACCGCUUUCAGCAGGGACGAAAUUGACGGUACCUGCAGAAGAAGGCCCGGCCAACUACGUGCCAGCAGCCGCGGUGAUACGUAGGGGUCUAGCGUUGUCCGGAAUCAUUGGGCGUAAAGAGCUCGUAGGCGGUUCGAUUAGUCGGGUGUGAAAUCUCCACGCUCAACGUGGAGGGGCCACUCGAUACUGUCGUGACUCGAGUCCGGUAGGGGAGUUCGGAAUUCCCGGUGUAGCGGUGAAAUGCGCAGAUAUCGGGAGGAACACCAGUGGCGAAGGCGGAACUCUGGGCCGGAACUGACGCUGAGGAGCGAAAGCGUGGGGAGCGAACAGGAUUAGAAACCCCGGUAGUCC
rnacentral:rRNA from 1 species